CUCAUAUAUCCCUCGUUAGUGCCGCCCAUCAACUCAUUUGGUCUUGCAACCAAUCUCUUUCAUCUGCUCCUGAAAUUGAGCCUCAAUUCAAGUAAUUUUCACAAAUUCUCUUGGGUGAUAACCAUAUAUGAUGGACUAUGCUUGGGAACAUGGCAGAAGAACUUUCAAGGACAAUAAGCCCUAUGUUGAGUGCAAAUACUGUGGGCACUUGGUGAAAGGAAUCAACAGACUCAAAUACCAUUUAGCCCAGCAAAAGGGAAUAGUUAAAGUGUGUGCAUUGGUUCCCCAGUCCAUAUCAGACGGUUUUAGGGCCAAUUUUGAAGAAGAUCCUAUCCGCGGAAACAUGAGAUUGAAGGUGCACCAAAAUAGGGUUCCACCAGUGGAAAUUAUAUUUCCCAUUUUGCAGGGUAAUUCUUCUGAACCAAGGUCCUCUGAGUCUCUGGAAACCGUGAUCCAGAGCGUGGAAAAUAGGCAAAAAGAAGUUGAUUCAGGGAAAGAGCUAGGCAAAAAGCGGAAGAGGGAUGCUGGGGAGUCCAAUUGGAAUGCAAACUAUGGGGUCUGUACUUGCCUCCUCCUUAAAAGUGGCCCUUGCAUGAAUUAUUAAGCUAUUAAGCUAUGUGUUUUAGUUAUAUUUGAAGAUAUUUCAUGUGUUGUUUCUUAUGUAUCUGCUCACUCCCAGAUUUGCUAAUUUGUUGUGGAUAUAGUUUCUUUUUGGGGUGCAAUUACCUUAAAAAGAAGUGCUGCGACUUAGUGUUGGACUCAAUAUUGACUGCACAAAUAUUCCAAUGGAGUAAUUUGCAGGGCAAAUUGGGUCAAUGUGGAUAAUAUGGGGAAACUCAACCCUUAGUUUCAAGUCUAAUGGAAACAACAUUAAUGAAUGUGUUUAAA